ACGAGUAAACAGCUGACAUACCAUAUUGGACGGUAGGUGGGUCCCAUAUGAGUAUGCUAGCUGUGUAUAAGUCCAAAUGUAUCACAUACCAUAUUGGACGAUAGGUGGGUCCCAUAUGAGUAUGCUAGCUGUGUAUAAGUCCAAAUGUAUCACAUACCAUAUUGGACGGUAGGUGGGUCCCAUAUGAGUAUGCUAGCUGUGUAUCAGUCCAAAUGUAUCACAUACCAUAUUGGACGAUAGGUGGGGGCCAUAUGAGUAUGCUAGCUGUGUAUAAGUCCAAAUGUAUCACAUACCAUAUUGGACGACGAUAGGUGGGUCCCAUAUGAGUAUGCUAGCUGUGUAUCAGUCCAAAUGUAUCACAGUAUUGUACAUAACUCUGUUAAAUAAUCUUUUAAUUAUAAACCCACCACAAUCUUUAUUGACGUUCUUAUUAAUUUUCAGUAAUACAUUUCAAUGUUAAGUCUGCGUUUAAGCAAUAUGACGUUUUAUGAAUGUAGACGUAAACAGUGUUUUUGGAGAAAAACGCCCUCAGAGAAUAGUAAUAAUAUUAAUAAAUGUUAUUUUAAGCAUGAUUUAUUUAUGGGACAUAUAUUUUUAACAACUUUUAUGCAGUUAAUCAAACAUUCUAUCGUAGAUUCUAUUGAUUUGUCUUGAAUUUAAAGUGGAAACGAUCUGAUGUAUUUGGUUAAACCCCGACUGUCCAAUAUGUAAUAUAUAUUGGAUAAAGAGCCAUCAAAUGCGGCAAGAUAUUGUCAUGUGGUACAAAUGGUGACAGCUGAUUGAAUUAUAUAAAUAUGAAUAUAAUAAUAUUAUUGUCUACUAUAUGUUUAACUGUCUGAAGUGCUAUGUUUCAAUGUUAGUAUGUGGUACAACUUUAAUUUUAACAUUUACACAUUACGAGCAAAGUUUUUGUUUGAAUCAGAAUUGAGUUCACAAAUUGUAGUUUUUGAGACACCUAUUUGUAACAGCAUUAUUACUUGACUUCUUUGUAAUAUUUAAGUCCCUUAAUGUUGGAUGCAUUGAUUAAUAUUUUUCAUAGAUCAAUGUGCUCUUACAAUCUAUCAUAAAAUAAAAACAAUUGGCCAUUAAAAAAAAUUGAUUCUUAUAACAUUUGUGUUGAUAUUUUGAAGUUUUGUUGCUUUUAAUUUCAUGCAUGUGUGUUGUUAUAAACUUAAAAUAUGCAAUACUUUGGAUUCAUUAAAUUUUGUUUAUAAGGCAUUUAUUGUAUUAAUAAAAUUUUGCAUUUUUUUUGAUAUUUCAAGUUCUGGACUAUCUUAUAUUGUCUGAUUUGAGGUGGGACUUUGAUGUGAACAGUUCCACAAAAUCCACGGCUAUUAGUGUAAAACGCAUAAAAUUGGUUUCACAGUAAUCAAUGCAAUCCUUAUGUCUAGAAACUAUAGUUAGCAAGCGUAGCAAUUUCCUUAUUCAUUUGUUAUGAAUAUUAUUCUCCAAUCAAUUACAUAGAUACAUGUAAUUGGUAGUGAAUAUGAGGCGAGUAUCGGAUAGGGAUGAAGUUUAUUAUGCAUGGCUUUUAAGCAAAUGUGUUCAGAAUUAGCCGAGCACUCAAAUGUUUUUAACUGAGAUUGAUCAACUUACUCUUCAAUCCAAUAUUACACUCGCCUAACACUCUUUUAUUCUUUGAAUACUUAUUAUCUCUACUCAUAAAUCAUGCUGAAGGCUUGAAAAAAUGUCGUAAAGCUAUUGGUUAUAAUAGUUUGUUUGCAAUUGCUUUAGCAGAUAUGAAAAGGAUACAUAUAAUAUAUUUAAGUCCAAAGACUUAUGUAGUCAGUGGCGAAAGCAAAGCAGGUUACAUUUCAGAAAAAUAUUUAGUGUUUAAACCAGUCAGUAAAACAUGCUAUUACUGUUUGGUUUUCUUUAAGUCAUUUAUUUGAAUGUACUUAAACCACUUAAAGUGGUACAUUAUGGUUAAUAAUCGGUGCAAUAGAUGAUGAAACUGAUUAUGUUUGUUUUUGUUUUUCUUCAUUGUAUAAUUUUAGAAGGACACUAGAUUGUUGUGCAUUGUAACUGUCAGUAUGGCAUAAUGUCUCCAUUGUUGUUAAUUAGUUCACCUGAGCAAAAUAUUCUCAUUUUUAAAUUGUGUGAAUAUCUUUUAUUCUUUGUUUUCAUACGUCGUAAACAUUUGCCUUGUAAACAGUAGAUUUGGCAUUUAUUGCCCAAUCUUCAUGAAACUUGGUCAACACAUUUGUCUUAAUGAUAUUUGGGCCAAGUUUGAAACUCGUUUACAUAUGAAAGGUAAAAAACUAAGCCACUAGUUAAAAUAAAUGUUUGUUAACCCUUAAAGCGCUGGAGCAGAAUUUUAAAGGCCUUUGCAAACAGUUUGAAUCCAGAUGAGACGCCACAGAACGUGGCGUCUCAUCAGGAUCCAAACUGUUUGCUAUUCUGAUGGUAUUCUUUGAAAAAAUCGAAGAAAAUGCUAAUUUUAGAAAUUCAGCAGACGACAUUUUAGCAGAAGACAAAUUUCCCAGCAUGCUAAGGGUUAAUACUCUAGAGGCCACAUGUUUUAACCAAUCUUGCAAUCUUGGUAAUAAUAUUUUUCCACUUUUGAUACCUCAGUUUGAGUUUGAAACUGGGUCAUGUGCGUUCGAAAAUUAGGUCUUCAGAUCAAAGUAUAGGAAAAUCUUGUGGCAUUUAUUGCCAAAACUUUAAGAAAAAAGGCCAGACAUAUUGUGCUAUUGAUAUCUCAACAAAGAUUUAAACUGGAUCAUGUGGGAUACAAAAGUAGGUCCACAACAAAGUUACUCGUAUUUUGACAGGUAUUUUAUUUGAUGUGUACAUAUUCACAAUGAGGUAUAUUGUUUUCAUGAACAUAUUCAGAUAGAACACAUUCAUAUUUUUGCUUGUUUGCUCAUUUUUCAAAUUCCUUUUAGAAUCAAAUACCCAUAUCCAUAUUAUGUGAAUGCUAAAAUUGCAUGUUUUUCAACUAGUAUAAACAUGUUGUUUCUAUAUUGCAUGGUUAUAAUAUUCUUACCAGUAAACUUAUGCUUGGUUAUAUUAUUACAUUUGCUUAAGUUUUCCUGAAAGGAUUUGUUAGUAUGUAUUUUGUGUAGACCUGUUUCCAAAUUAGUUUUGUUUGGAUUUCAUCUAGUUUUUAUAAUUUAAAAAAAUGUAUUUAAUUUACGACUAUCUUAAGUCAGAAACUUUCCUGGUUGGAACAUGGUUGAGUGUUGCAUCACAACCCAUCUUGUAUAUUAUAUAGUACCAGUUUAAUUACUAUGUGGCGCCUAAAUUGUUCACAUAUGUUGUACAUCAAAUUUCGUUGUCAAGUUUUGCUAUUUAUUUGUACAUGUGAACAAUAAAUAUUGUGUAUAUUUUGACUGUAUGUUUAAGACUACAUUAAAUUAAACUAUGUGAAA